CCUACGGGAGGCAGCAGUGGGGAAUAUUGGACAAUGGGCGCAAGCCUGACCCAGCAACGCCGCGUGAAGGAAGAAGGCUUUCGGGUUGUAAACUUCUUUUGUCAGGGAAGAGUAGAAGACGGUACCUGACGAAUAAGCCACGGCUAACUACGUGCCAGCAGCCGCGGUAAUACGUAGGUGGCAAGCGUUGUCCGGAUUUACUGGGUGUAAAGGGCGUGUAGCCGGGUUGACAAGUCAGAUGUGAAAUCCUGCGGCUUAACCGCAGAACUGCUUUGGAACCUGUUGAUCUUGAGUACUGGAGGGGCAGACGGAAUUCCUGGGGUAGCGGGGAAAUGGG
rnacentral:rRNA from 1 species